rnacentral:rRNA from 1 species
AUUGAACGCUGGCGGCAGGCCUAACACAUGCAAGUCGAGCGGAUGAAGGGAGCUUGCUCCUGGAUUCAGCGGCGGACGGGUGAGUAAUGCCUAGGAAUCUGCCUGGUAGUGGGGGAUAACGUCCGGAAACGGGCGCUAAUACCGCAUACGUCCUGAGGGAGAAAGUGGGGGUUUUUGGGCCCCACGGCUUUCGGAGAGCCCUAGGUCGGAUUAGCUAGUUGGUGGGGUAAAGGCCUACCAAGGCGACGAUCCGUAACUGGUCUGAGAGGAUGAUCAGUCACACUGGAACUGAGACACGGUCCAGACUCCUACGGGAGGCAGCAGUGGGGAAUAUUGGACAAUGGGCGAAAGCCUGAUCCAGCCAUGCCGCGUGUGUGAAGAAGGUCUUCGGAUUGUAAAGCACUUUAAGUUGGGAGGAAGGGCAGUAAGUUAAUACCUUGCUGUUUUGACGUUACCAACAGAAUAAGCACCGGCUAACUUCGUG